UACGAAGGGGGCUAGCGUUGUUCGGAAUCACUGGGCGUAAAGCGCACGUAGGCGGACUUUUAAGUCAGGGGUGAAAUCCCAGGGCUCAACCCUGGAACUGCCCUUGAUACUGAGAGUCUCGAGUUCGAGAGAGGUGAGUGGAACUCCGAGUGUAGAGGUGAAAUUCGUAGAUAUUCGGAAGAACACCAGUGGCGAAGGCGGCUCACUGGCUCGAUACUGACGCUGAGGUGCGAAAGCGUGGGGAGCAAACAGG
rnacentral:rRNA from 1 species